rnacentral:rRNA from 1 species
GACGAACGCUGGCGGCGUGCUUAACACAUGCAAGUCGAACGGAAAGGCCCUGCUUUUGUGGGGUGCUCGAGUGGCGAACGGGUGAGUAACACGUGAGUAACCUGCCCUUGACUUUGGGAUAACUUCAGGAAACUGGGGCUAAUACCGGAUAGGAGCUCCUGCUGCAUGGUGGGGGUUGGAAAGUUUCGGCGGUUGGGGAUGGACUCGCGGCUUAUCAGCUUGUUGGUGGGGUAGUGGCUUACCAAGGCUUUGACGGGUAGCCGGCCUGAGAGGGUGACCGGCCACAUUGGGACUGAGAUACGGCCCAGACUCCUACGGGAGGCAGCAGUGGGGAAUAUUGCACAAUGGGCGGAAGCCUGAUGCAGCAACGCCGCGUGCGGGAUGACGGCCUUCGGGUUGUAAACCGCUUUCGCCUGUGACGAAGCGUGAGUGACGGUAAUGGGUAAAGAAGCACCGGCUAACUACGUGCCAGCAGCCGCGGUGAUACGUAGGGUGCGAGCGUUGUCCGGAUUUAUUGGGCGUAAAGGGCUCGUAGGUGGUUGAUCGCGUCGGAAGUGUAAUCUUGGGGCUUAACCCUGAGCGUGCUUUCGAUACGGGUUGACUUGAGGAAGGUAGGGGAGAAUGGAAUUCCUGGUGGAGCGGUGGAAUGCGCAGAUAUCAGGAGGAACACCAGUGGCGAAGGCGGUUCUCUGGGCCUUUCCUGACGCUGAGAAGCGAAAGCGUGGGGAGCGAACAGGCUUAGAUACCCUGGUAGUCCACGCUGUAAACGGUGGGUACUAGGUGUGGGGUCCAUUCCACGGGUUCCGUGCCGUAGCUAACGCUUUAAGUACCCCGCCUGGGGAGUACGGCCGCAAGGCUAAAACUCAAAGGAAUUGACGGGGCCCCGCACAAGCGGCGGAGCAUGCGGAUUAAUUCGAUGCAACGCGUAGAACCUUACCUGGGUUUGACAUGGAUCGGGAGUGCUCAGAGAUGGGUGUGCCUCUUUUGGGGUCGGUUCACAGGUGGUGCAUGGCUGUCGUCAGCUCGUGUCGUGAGAUGUUGGGUUAAGUCCCGCAACGAGCGCAACCCUUGUUCACUGUUGCCAGCACGUUAUGGUGGGGACUCAGUGGAGACCGCCGGGGUCAACUCGGAGGAAGGUGGGGAUGACGUCAAGUCAUCAUGCCCCUUAUGUCCAGGGCUUCACGCAUGCUACAAUGGCUGGUACAGAGAGUGGCGAGCCUGUGAGGGUGAGCGAAUCUCGGAAAGCCGGUCUCAGUUCGGAUUGGGGUCUGCAACUCGACCUCAUGAAGUCGGAGUCGCUAGUAAUCGCAGAUCAGCAACGCUGCGGUGAAUACGUUCCCGGG